GUUCGAAGCAGCUCCCUUCUCCGGCACGUCUGUAAUACAGCUCUGGGCCUGGGUACCAAUUGCUCCUCAUGCCUCUGAGCUCAUUCUAGAGUUCAAGGACCAUCAAAAGGGGCCGCAAAGGAUCUUUCUGGGUGCUUUCCCCAUUAUCUUCUCAUCCUAUCAAUCGGAAGGAGGAUGCUUAUUGGAGAUCUAUUGUUUACUAAUGUAUUGGAUGAAGGUGGUGCCCACCCUCCUGGCCGAGGAGAAGCCCGUAUCUACCGAUGCCUCGGAAGCCGUCCUGUGGGAGUGUUCCAGCACCCAAGGUGAACGAGAUGUCGCGCUGCUCUUCGCAUCCCUCUCCUACACUCAGCCACCUCUGUUUCACCUGCCUCACGUCCAGGAACCUUUUAUCCCUAACGUGGAACAGCUGAUCUUCGGCCAGAAUCCUCAGGACACGGAGCAUGGCCAGGCUCGGCUUCCCAUGGAGAAGCUGUGUCACCUGCAGGAUAGAAAGGUGAACCUUCACAGAGCUUCGUGGGGCCAGUGCAUCGUGGCACCCAAGGUUUUCAGCUUCCCUUACUGUGAAGGGAUCUGCCUGGCCAUGAACUGUGAGCUCCUUCACUCCAACUUUGAAUGCUAUAAGAGAGAGGAAUCCACCUGUACCCCGCUCUUUCAGGCCUGUGGUCCUAUCAAGGUCCGUCUUUUCUCCUUCAUGGUCCAGGAUGAUGAACACAGGAUGAGCGUGUACCACGUGAACACCUCCCUAAUAGAAAAGUGUGGCUGUUCCUGAGAUUCCCUGGAGCGGCUGCUCUGCUAGUCUCUGUACCAUAGGUUUGGAGCUGUUUAGCAACGGAUCUAGCCUUGGAAUGACAGUUCCCUUUAGCCCAGCAUUUCUGGCCUCUGGAGUGAGUGAAAACUCUGUCAAGGGGGUAUUGUGUCACAGGCUAGCCCUCACUGCCUUUAGACUAGUGGGGGAGAUCUUUUGUCUCAUGGGAGGGUUAGGUCUCACUGUUUAAGAGACUUCCUGCCUCUUAAGUUUAACUUAAU
rnacentral:lncRNA from 1 species